rnacentral:rRNA from 1 species
AUGAACGUUGGCGGUGUGCCUAAUACAUGCAAGUCGAACGAAGAUGAUAGCAAUAUUGUCUUAGUGGCGAACGGGUGAGUAACGCGUUGGUGACCUGCCCCGAAGUGUGGAAUAACAAUUCGAAAGAAUUGCUAAUACCGCAUGUGAUCUUGGAGAUUAGAACCUCUUUGAUUAAAGGAUUUAUUCGCUUCGGGAGGGGCCUGCGUCCCAUCAGCUAGUUGGUAGGGUAAUGGCCUACCAAGGCUUUGACGGGUAGGGGACCUGAGAGGGUGGCCCCCCACAAUGGAACUGAAACACGGUCCAUACACCUACGGGUGGCAGCAGUAGGGAAUAUUAGUAAUGGGCGAAAGCCUGAACUAGCAACACCGCGUGUGCGAUGAAGGCCUUCGGGUUGUAAAGCACUUUUCGGGAGGAUGAGGAAGGACGGUACUCCCGGAAUAAGUCUCGGCUAACUACGU